GUGCUCACUUCGGCAGCACAUAUACUAAAACUGGAACGAUACAGAGAAGAUUAGCAAGGCCCCUGUGCAAGGAUGACACGCAAAUUCGUGAAGCAUUCCAUAUUUUU
rnacentral:snRNA from 1 species